UCGUUGUCCCAACCCCCUUGGGAAACUUGGUAGACUGGUGUCAUUGUGGUGGUGGGCUUUGCCUUUGGGUUGUGGAACAGGUCUUGCAGAAGCAACAUGCUACAGUGCAGGGGAUGGGACUGGAAUAUGGGAGACUCCAUGUCUGCAAGGAAGAGGAAGAGAUCUAACAACGAUACCUUCAGAUCCACUCAUUUUACAAAGAAUAUGAAUGAGAACUGGAUGGAAAUCAAAGUGUUGUUUAUGGCUACAGGCAGAGGUGUCAACUUAUAUCUAGUAUCAUGAUUUUCUCCACCAUGGAAAGAGAAGCAAUAAGGCAACAAUCUGUGAAGAUUAAUUGUAACAGAAGAGGGAUUGACAAUGAUUUAAAUGGUUGUCAUCCAGAGUUAUGUUUAUAAAAGUUAGAUGUUUUGUAAAAUGAUGCAAUAAAUGAUGUGUUUAGGGUUU